GAUGAACGCUAGCGGCAGGCCUAAUACAUGCAAGUCGGACGGGAUUCAGGAGCUUGCUUCUGAUGAGAGUGGCGCACGGGUGCGUAACACGUAUGUAACCUACCUUUAUCAGGGGGAUAGCCUCUCGAAAGAGAGAUUAAGCCCGCAUAAAAUCACAGCACAGCAUUGUGUAAUGAUCAAAUAUUUAUAGGAUAAAGAUGGGCAUGCGGAACAUUAGCUAGAUGGCGGGGUAACGGCCCACCAUGGCGACGAUGUUUAGGGGAUCUGAGAGGAUGGCCCCCCACACUGGUACUGAGACACGGACCAGACUCCUACGGGAGGCAGCAGUAAGGAAUAUUGGUCAAUGGGCGGAAGCCUGAACCAGCUAUGCCGCGUGCAGGAAGACGGCCCUACGGGUUGUAAACUGCUUUUAUACGGGAAUAAACCCAGAUACGUGUAUCUGGCUGAAUGUACUGUAAGAAUAAGGAUCGGCUAACUCCGUG
rnacentral:rRNA from 1 species